AGCAACGNGAAGAACCUUACCAAGUCUUGACAUCCCUCUGAAUCCUCUAGAGAUAGAGGCGGCCUUCGGGACAGAGGUGACAGGUGGUGCAUGGUUGUCGUCAGCUCGUGUCGUGAGAUGUUGGGUUAAGUCCCGCAACGAGCGCAACCCUUGAUUUUAGUUGCCAGCACAUGAUGGUGGGCACUCUAGAAUGACUGCCGGUGACAAACCGGAGGAAGGCGGGGAUGACGUCAAAUCAUCAUGCCCCUUAUGACUUGGGCUACACACGUACUACAAUGGCUGGUACAACGGGAAGCGAAGCCGCGAGGUGGAGCCAAUCCUAUAAAAGCCAGUCUCAGUUCGGAUUGCAGGCUGCAACUCGCCUGCAUGAAGUCGGAAUUGCUAGUAAUCGCGGAUCAGCAUGCCGNGGUGAAUACGUUCCCGGGUCUUGUACACACC
rnacentral:rRNA from 1 species